rfam:Selaginella moellendorffii unplaced genomic scaffold SELMOscaffold_100, whole genome shotgun sequence.
GGGUCUUGGGAUAUUUGGGGUUAAAGUGUCCUUGGGUUUGAAUAGUACUGGGCUGGGUGACCUCCCGGGAAGUCCAAACUCAGGAGCUU